rnacentral:rRNA from 1 species
CCUACGGGAGGCAGCAGUGGGGAAUUUUGGACAAUGGGCGAAAGCCUGAUCCAGCAAUGCCGCGUGUGGGAAGAAGGCCUUCGGGUUGUAAACCACUUUUGUACGGAACGAAACGGCUCGCUUUAAUACAGUGGGCUAAUGACGGUACCGUAAGAAUAAGCACCGGCUAACUACGUGCCAGCAGCCGCGGUAAUACGUAGGGUGCGAGCGUUAAUCGGAAUUACUGGGCGUAAAGCGUGCGCAGGCGGUUAUAUAAGACAGUUGUGAAAUCCCCGGGCUCAACCUGGGAAUUGCAUCUGUGACUGUAUAGCUAGAGUACGGUAGAGGGGGAUGGAAUUCCGCGUGUAGCAGUGAAAUGCGUAGAUAUGCGGAGGAACACCGAUGGCGAAGGCAAUCCCCUGGACCUGUACUGACGCUCAUGCACGAAAGCGUGGGGAGCAAACAGGAUUAGAUACCCUGGUAGUCCACGCCCUAAACGAUGUCAACUGGUUGUUGGGUGCAUUAGUACUCAGUAACGAAGCUAACGCGUGAAGUUGACAGCCUGGGGAGUACGGCCGCAAGGUUGAAACGUCAAAUGAAAUUGACGG